rnacentral:misc_RNA from 1 species
AAAGUCGUAACAAGGUUUCCGUAGGUGAACCUGCGGAAGGAUCAUUAUUGAAUCCAAAGGAUGUUGCUGGUCUCUCCCGAGACAUGUGCACUCCGCCUUUCAAUUCACCUGUGAACUUAUUGUAGGCCCUAGUGGUCUAUGUUUUUACACACCCAAUAGUUUGUAGAAUGUCUAAUAGUAGGCCUUUUGGUCGAAACUUAAUACAACUUUCAACAAUGGAUCUCUUGGUUCUC